UGUUGUGAAUCGUAAUAUAAAUAUUUUUGAA
rnacentral:piRNA from 1 species